rnacentral:rRNA from 1 species
AAAAUUCGGCAGCUAUACAUGCAGUCGGACGGGAUUUGGGAGCUUGCUCCUAAUGAGAGUGGCGCACGGGUGCGUAACACGUAUGUAACCUACCUUGAUCAGGGGGAUAGCCUCUCGAAAGAGAGAUUAAGACCGCAUAACAUUAUGAUAUGGCAUCGUAUUAUAAUCAAAUAUUUAUAGGAUCAAGAUGGGCAUGCGCAACAUUAGCUAGUUGGUGUGGUAACGGCAUACCAAGGCGACGAUGUUUAGGGGAUCUGAGAGGAUGACCCCCCCACUGACGACGACAGGAUGACGGAAGUCUGACGCCAUGCCGCGUGCAGGAAGACGCCUACGGGUUGUAAACUGCUUUUGCAGGGGAAUAAACCCCGGUUCGUGAACCGGGUUGAAUGUACCUUGAGAAUAAGGAUCGGCUAACUCCGUGCCAGCAGCCGCGGUAAUACGGAGGAUCCAAGCGUUAUCCGGAUUUAUUGGGUUUAAAGGGUGCGUAGGCGGCUUUUUAAGUCAGGGGUGAAAGACGGUAGCUCAACUAUCGCAGUGCCCUUGAUACUGAAGAGCUUGAAUGUACUUGAGGUAGGCGGAAUGUGACAAGUAGCGGUGAAAUGCAUAGAUAUGUCACAGAACACCAAUUGCGAAGGCAGCUUACUAAAGUAUGAUUGACGCUGAGGCACGAAAGCGUGGGGAUCAAACAGGAUUAGAUACCCUGGUAGUCCACGCCCUAAACGAUGAACACUCGAUGUUGGCGAUAUACGGUCAGCGUCUAAGCGAAAGCGUUAAGUGUUCCACCUGGGGAGUACGCCCGCAAGGGUGAAACUCAAAGGAAUUGACGGGGGCCCGCACAAGCGGAGGAGCAUGUGGUUUAAUUCGAUGAUACGCGAGGAACCUUACCCGGGCUUGAAAGUUAGUGAAUGUGACAGAGACGUCACAGUUCUUCGGAACACGAAACUAGGUGCUGCAUGGCUGUCGUCAGCUCGUGCCGUGAGGUGUUGGGUUAAGUCCCGCAACGAGCGCAACCCCUAUGUUUAGUGCCAGCAUUUAAGGGGAAACAGACUGCCAAAUAGAGAGGAGGAGGGGACGACGUCAAGUCAUCAUGGCCUUGUUCCGGGGCCACGUGCUACAAUGGAUGGUACAGAGGGCAGCUACCUGGCAACAGGAUGCCAAUCUCAUAAAGCCAUUCACAGUUCGGAUCGGGGUCUGCAACUCGACCCCGUGAAGUUGGAUUCGCUAGUAAUCGCGUAUCAGCAAUGACGCGGUGAAUACGUUCCCGGGCCUUGUACACACCGCCCGUCAAGCCAUGGAAGCUGGAAGUGCCUGAAGUGCGUAACCGCAAGGAGCGUCCUACGGUAACUCAGC